GACGAACGCUGGCGGCGUGCUUAACACAUGCAAGUCGAACGGAAAGGCCCUGCUUUUGUGGGGUGCUCGAGUGGCGAACGGGUGAGUAACACGUGAGUAACCUGCCCUUGACUUUGGGAUAACUUCAGGAAACUGGGGCUAAUACCGGAUAGGAGCUCCUGCUGCAUGGUGGGGGUUGGAAAGUUUCGGCGGUUGGGGAUGGACUCGCGGCUUAUCAGCUUGUUGGUGGGGUAGUGGCUUACCAAGGCUUUGACGGGUAGCCGGCCUGAGAGGGUGACCGGCCACAUUGGGACUGAGGUGCGGCGCAGACUCCUACGGGAGGCAGCAGUGGGGAAUAUUGCACAAUGGGCGGAAGCCUGAUGCAGCAACGCCGCGUGCGGGAUGACGGCCGUCGGGUUGUAGACCGCUUUCGCCUGUGACGAAGCGGGAGUGACGGUAAUGGGUAAAGAAGCACCGGCUAACUACGUG
rnacentral:rRNA from 1 species